AUGGUUUUGCAAAAUGGGGUGGAGUUAUUCUUCAUCGUCACCAACUACCAACCCAUGCCUUUACUUCAACAGCUGGGUCCUUCGUAGUUUUGGACCAGGUUGGCUGUUCGACCCGCUCCUCGUCAAUUGAGGCUAUUGCUUUUAAUCCAGUUGUUCCCCUUCCCAUAACCGAGAUGUUUUUCCUACAUUGGAGGAAAGGUGGGUUGAGGUUGGUCCAAAAUUAUAUGAGAAUGUAAGUUUUUUAGGAAUGACACAGCUAAGGCUUAUUUCAGAAUGUCGUGGAAAGCUUGUUUUUAGAUUUGUUAUUGGUUUUGGAUGUUCUUAUCCAGAUGUUGUUGCUGUAGGUGCAGAUAAGGCCCAGGAUCAUGAAUUAGAAGGUGGGACAUUUGCAUUGUAUGUAAAGCUCUGUCUUCUUCCAAACCAAUUCUCAAUUGAUGCUCGUAUCAAGGUCAACUGAAGGUGCCACCUCCACAGUUUGGGAUGUCAAUAACAAUUAAAGAAAGGAAGUAUAAGCUUCGUUGUCACUGAAAAGGAUGUUCUCGUGUUUGUUCUUGUUGGUACUUCCAUGUUGUGACAUAAGUGUCCACUGUCUUUUGAUGUCAUUGUUGAAUUUCUCCAAGAUAGUAAAGGUUCAACUAGUUUGUCAUAUAGGAUUUUAAUGCUACUAUGUUACUAUGUUAUAAUUUCACUUUGAUUUGACUUUUUUUUUAAUAGGAUGUCAUUGUUGAUUUCUCGUGCUUGUUUCCUCCGAAAUAUUUCACACAUUGAUGUAGAAGGUUUGCAGUCAUAUGGGUUCAAGCUGGACUUUAGGCAAGAACUAUGAAAACUUGUAUUGUAACAAUUUGUUUUUUCCUUGUACACAUGUGAAAAUCUAAUUAUAAAGGAAAAGGAAGAAAUUGAAGAAACACGACAAAGUGACUUGAAGUAGAAGAGACCAUAUUUUCCAUAUAGGAUGUAUGCACUAAUAGAAGCAAAUUCUUGUUUUUUCUUGCAAAUGAUACGUGCCUCAUAGAGAUAAUUACUUAUACUUAUGCAAGUUUUUUGUCCCUGCAGUUGAUUGCCACAACUUCUCUUUUCUUAGCUGCAAAGUCAGAGGGGACUCCUCAUCUCUUGAACAUUGAACACUAUUCUGAAGGCUGCUUUUGAAAAUUGCCAUAAGCACAACUUUCCAUUUUGCUCCUAUUUUCUUCAUCUAUAUGUUCCACUUGCCUCAGUUCUUAAUAAGCUGUUGAACAAUUGUACUUGCGAAUUUGGCUUGGAACUUGACCAAUGAAUGGUUCUAGAUUCAAUGUGAGAUGAUAAGUGCUUCCUAGGAGAUGAUGGGAAUCCCCUUAUGGCGGUAGCAGACCACCACCUAGUCGGAGAGUAGGUGGAGAGCGCGAUCAGUAAUGGCAGUCGAGGUCAUCGAGGAGACCUGGUUGACAUGGCAGAGGUUGUGGCCAUUGUUUGUGGCGACGACCUUAGUGUCUCUGGCGGAAGGUAGUGCUGUGGUAAAACCAAUUGAAGCCAGAAGCCUAACACAUUCUAUGAAAUGACAAUUCUAGACCAUGCAAUUUUUCUGUAUAUGCGUUAUGCAGCAGUCAUAUCCGAGUGUAUAUAAAUUAUAUAUAACCCACUACUCACAUCCGAGUGGGUGGUUAGUUUUAAUUUUGAAAGGUAGCUUGGUUGUUUAAAUAUGAUUACUAAAAUUAUGUUCAUAUUAUUUUCUCAAGUUUGCUGAUUGAACUUAAGCAAUUAGUGGAAUGUUCACUCUACGAACUUGCUAGGGCAAAAUUGAAAGUCGAUAGAAAGAAUGAUCGACUUGGUCAAAAGCGGUACAUCUCUUGGUGUUUGGUGUUGAACGGACAUACCCAUGUGAGUCUGAAUGCUUUAAAAUCUACG